AGCACCAGGACAGGAGGGACAGACCCAGAACGGGACCAGGACAGGAGUGACAGACCCAGAAUGGGUCCAGGGCAGGAGUGACUGACCCACAACAGGGGUAGGACAGGAGGGACAGACCCAGAACAGGGCCAGGACAGGAGGGACAGACCCAGAACAGGGCCGGGACAGGAGUGAUGGAGCCAGAACAGGGCCAGGACAGGAGGGACGGACACAGAACGGGCUGGGACAGGGCUGUGGGACUGCAGGGAGUCACACUCUGGGAUCUGGAAGUGGAAAUGAAGGACAGAGAUCACUGCAUGUUGUGAAACCUUCCUGACACACCGAGGCCUUUGGAAGCUGAGGUGCCCUGGGGGCUGCUGGCUCAGAGCAGGGCUGGCCAAGGGGCUUUCUCUGGAAUCCCUUCUCACAGAGAAAGAGAAACAUUUGCUCAUCUGAUGGUGCACCUGAAACAAAGUUGCAUCGUCUGUUGAUAUUUUUUAGUGCAGGGUUGAAACAGCUUUCCAGUGACUGUCACACACUUCAGCUUGGCCAAGGUGUCCUGACGCGUAAGGAGAGACGAGUAGCAGGAAUGGGGGAAAAACAAGCCCGGGGAUCUGAAGCCUCAGCCAUGACUGAAGAACUCAACAUAAAGCCACUGACUGAAGGCAAAAGAGACUCAGACAAAGAAUUAAAUGUAUUACAGGUGAUCAAAAAUUCUAAUGGACAAUUUAACCUUGAGGCUGCAAUUAAAAAUGUUGACACAAUGUCCAAUGAGUUGAAGAAAAUAAAUGUGGAAAGCCAGCUACUGCUUUGUGACCUGAUUUUGAAUUUCAACCAUCCUGGGAAGGCCAAAGAUUUAAGAGAAGCUGAAGAAAAGGCUUGGAGUUUGACAGAUUGAGUAACAUCCAUUUUCACGUAUUUCUAUUAAUACUGCUGAAGCUUCUGGUACUUCUUCUUUCUUCUUCAUCUUGUUUAUUUUAAUUAAGUUUGAACUGUACAUGGUUUCCUGCAGUUAGACUAUUUUUAUUUUAAGUUAAACAUGUGAAAUGGAAAAAAAAAGUAAGUUGUUGGUUCUGAGAAGGGUUUUUCAACCCACAUUUCCCAAAUUAAGCCCACUAGGGCUGGAAAGACUGAUGUGAUUAAUUAAAAAGGUCAGGAAACUGGGCAUGAAGUUUUUCAUGUGGUAUUCUCCUUUUAAACAAUGAGGUGUUGGAGCAGUAACAAAAUUUGCAAUUUACUACAAGUCACUGCUCUCAUAUCUCAGUUGUGCUCGGGGAAACAGGAUAAGCAAGUAUCAGUGAAGGAGGAACUGCAAUUUGUGUUUUGAGCUGUCUUCCUCAUCUUAAAAAUAUUGCUGAGGAAUGGGUCAAAGAGCAGAUUACUGCUGGAAAACCAAAAGUACUUUUCUUUCCACUUUCUGUGGCUUCAAUGCUCUAUCCUGAAAUCUUGGGCCAACAUUUUUCAUAUAGUUCAUUGCAAUUAAUAUUCAAUCAUACUUUACUUGUGGUCAUGUUUGAAUGUUGAGAUGUAUUUUUAUUCUUACACCAAAUAUAUUUCUCUGAAUAAUCAAAUAGAGAUUUAUUCUACUUUAAAAAUAUGCAAUGUUAGAAAUUUUUAUGCUGGUUUAUAUUUUAUUUCUCUUUCACUGAUG
rnacentral:lncRNA from 12 species